rnacentral:rRNA from 1 species
GCACAAUGGGCGCAAGCCUGAUGCAGCCAUGCCGCGUGUAUGAAGAAGGCCUUCGGGUUGUAAAGUACUUUCAGCAGUGAGGAAGGCGGGCAUGUUAAUAGCAUGCUCGUUUGACGUUAGCUGCAGAAGAAGCACCGGCUAACUCCGUGCCAGCAGCCGCGGUAAUACGGAGGGUGCGAGCGUUAAUCGGAAUUACUGGGCGUAAAGCGCAUGCAGGUGGUUUGUUAAGUCAGAUGUGAAAGCCCCGGGGCUCAACCUCGGAAUUGCAUUUGAAACUGGCAGACUAGAGUACUGUAGAGGGGGUAGAAUUUCAGGUGUAGCGGUGAAAUGCGUAGAGAUCUGAAGGAAUACCGGUGGCGAAGGCGGCCCCCUGGACAGAUACUGACACUCAGAUGCGAAAGCGUGGGGAGCAAACAGGAUUAGAUACCCUGGUAG